UACGUAGGCAGCAAACGUUGUUCGGAGUUACUGGGCGUAAAGAGUACGUAGGCGGUUUGCUAAGUUUGGUGUGAAAUCUCCUGGCUUAACUGGGAGGGUGCGCCGAAUACUGGUGAGCUUGAGUGUGGGAGAGGAAAGCGGAAUUCCUGGUGUAGCGGUGAAAUGCGUAGAUAUCAGGAGGAACACCGGUGGUGUAGACGGCUUUCUGGACCACGACUGACGCUGAGGUACGAAAGCGUGGGUAGCAAACAGG
rnacentral:rRNA from 1 species